UAACAGCAGAUGCUUUACUUAACUAUAGCUUGUUAAAAAUAAAGCUAAAAGUCUGCACAACCAUGCAUACUUUUGUAUGCUAAAAACCCUUAGAAGAAUAAUAUAGAAUAUUGAAUCCCUGAUUCUCAACUGAACAUUUACUAAAUGCAUUGUAAGAAUCUGGCAAGCCCUUGUAGUACUUCUCCGUAUGCCUACAUGCAAGUGUACAUAUGCAGCGCGUUGCAUCAGAUUUCAGCAAGUACUAACAUCUAAUCUAAGAUGUUUAACAUAUGGGGUGUUGUACCUAGGUGUAUCCAUCCAAUCUUUGUCCAUGCUAGUUGCACCUGCACACAUGAUUAAUAGUGAAUUUAAAUGCCUCACACACUGUCCACACACAAAAAAACUAGAAAAUUCAAAAUGUGAAUAGAACUCUGAAACUGAAACUAAAAUCAAAAUCAAACCCUUUCUAUGCCUCGCAUGUGGAUCAUAGGAAACAAAAUAGGUGUUCCAGGAAUUGAACUUCAUAGGAAACAAUUAAGUCUAGAAAGAAUUCAUUAUAUCAUUAUCAAAUAGUGUCUAACAGUAUAAGAAAAAACCUUUUGGAAAUCCACAUGUCGUUCGGAUCCCGCUGGUUAGUAGGUUUGGCCCCCUUCUUUUGCCAGGCACUGCUUUAAAUGUUCACCAACAAUGUUAUACAUGUGGUGUCAUACAUUGUCCACACACAAAAUAACAGGAAAAGGCCAAUUCUAAAAUAUACAAGUUCAAGAUAAGUUGCUGCUUAUCAAGGAAUAGCAAGAGAUUAUGCAAGUCAGGUACAAUAUUGUUAUCAUGACAACUAGGAACUAAAGGUGCCACGCUAAAUUGGUAUCUUAAUUUAUGGGCGGAGGCAAGAGCUGAAACUGAACCAGAAUCUCAAGUUUUGGUUUGCCUUAUAAUGUAUUACUGCUACACAGAUAAUUAUUGUUCUUGUGCAUGAUCUCAACUUGUCACAGGACAUCAUUAGCAUUUUCAUAUAUUCUCUCGGAUCCCACUUUUCAAAGCCAGAACAACACUCAAGAGUCUAAACUAUGGUGACAACCCAAGGUUCAGAGCAAUAAAUAUAUCAUUAAAAUCAGUCUAAAUGUGCCAUUUUCCACAAAGUAUCAUCAUAGUUAAGAUUUAUAGCUAAGUUCUAUGUUCCAAAUUUAAGCAGUAUGCUAGUUACUUAUGAUGAUAAUACACUAAGCAAAUUUCUUUUGAUAACGAAGGCCAACCAAAUUGACCACUAUGCAGAAGGUGUGCUCAUGCAUAACAACUACACUGUUUUCUUCUCAAAGCACAUAGUACGUGUAAAUUAGCUUUCAAAAUCCACACAUAACAUAAGCAGGAACAUGUGGAGGGGAAAAACAAUUCUUCCGAAGAGAAAUCGUUGUAUUGCUGGGAAAUAGAUAACACAUGAGGUGGAUAAAGACCUUGCAUUAGAAGGACUAAAACCAACCCACUGUCCUAGUUGGAUCUGGAAGAGGCAUCUUGGAGCAUACCUUCUUGGCCGGCAGCACCUCCAGGAGAUGGUGAGCUUGGGCGCGGACGAAAAGGGAAGCUCCCGGCAGGGUUUGGAGGGCGACGGCAAGACCACCUGUGCGUGCAGGGCAGCGUAGUGAGCGACGGUGAAGGGAAGGGCGCACGGACAGGAGGAGAGAGCACCUGCAGAUGGAGGGGGGGGAGGAGGACGGAGAAAGCACCUACCGGUGGAGGCGGCGGCAGUAUGGUGUACGGGGUACCAC
rnacentral:lncRNA from 1 species